UACACUGGUUAUUCUGUUAUCAGACAAGGUGAGUAUGUAUGAAAGUUCUAGGCAUGGAAUUCACAGUUUAUGAAGGAAUAAAAUAGUAGAUAGAAGAAUACAGAGCAAAACAGUAGAUAGAAGAAUACAGACAGGAGAAUAAAGUUCACAGCUCAUCUUCUUCCAGAGGGUAUGGAGGUUGGUCCGUGCUUCCGUGAAGGUAUAGGUCCUUAAGUAUAAUCCCAAGUAAAUUCAAGCAGUAUUUUGGCAGUAUUUU